rnacentral:rRNA from 1 species
GAUGAACGCUCGCGGCAGGCCUAAUACAUGCAAGUCGGACGGGAUUCAGGAGCUUGCUUCUGAUGAGAGUGGCGCACGGGUGCGUAACACGUAUGUAACCUACCUUUAUCAGGGGGAUAGCCUCUCGAAAGAGAGAUUAAGCCCGCAUAAAAUCACAGCACAGCAUUGUGUAAUGAUCAAAUAUUUAUAGGAUAAAGAUGGGCAUGCGGAACAUUAGCUAGAUGGCGGGGUAACGGCCCACCAUGGCGACGAUGUUUAGGGGAUCUGAGAGGAUGGCCCCCCACACUGGUACUGAGACACGGACCAGACUCCUACGGGAGGCAGCAGUAAGGAAGAUUGGUCAAUGGGCGGAAGCCUGAACCAGCCAUGCCGCGUGCAGGAAGACGGCCCUACGGGUUGUAAACUGCUUUUAUACGGGAAUAAACCCAGAUACGUGUAUCUGGCUGAAUGUACUGUAAGAAUAAGGAUCGGCUAACUCCGUG